AAACAACUAAACAACAACAACAACAGUGAGUGGAAUACUUAUUUUUGAGCAGGUUGUCUGAAGCAUCAGAAUUUUAUUUUAUUAUUUUAAUUUUUUGCAAAUGAGCAAUAGCAGUUCCCAACAAAGCAGGAUGAGUGCAAUUUACUACUGUCUGCCAAAGAGAUGGCAAAUCUCUCUGGGAUGGCAGGGAGCUUCCAACCUUUACAAAACAGGAACAACAUCUGAAAUAGGGCUUGUUGAAAACCCUCUGAUAAAAGAGCCCUAAAUAAGUCAGGAAGUGUCCAAAAGUUUCUUAAAAUGACCCCACUGUUAGGGACAGAUUAUCUGCAAUUUCUGGUAGACAGGUAAUAAUUUUUGACAAGUCCACAGAAAAUAGACUUGGGCCUAAGGCACUCUUUUGCACCCACAGGGAUGGCUUGAGGGAGUGAUUAGCAUGGAUAUAUGGCACUAAAAAAAUGUCACCAUGAGCCAUCCGUGUAUCUUCUUCAAGAUAAUUCUGCAACUUGCCAACUGGAACUAAUGAAAAUCCAAUAUUCACUCAUAGAAUUCUCCUUGAAUAAAUUGCAUAGGGAUCACCUUCUAAGAACUGUUCUUCCACUGUCUCAGAGGGGAAUAUUCCUAGCAAGAGAGUAAUCCUAAAUUCCAAAGGAGGGCUGCUGAGGGAUUCUUGGCUGCUGUGUACCUACCACUCCUCCAGCAGAGGUCCACCAUCAGAUAACUCCUCACUGAGGCAGUGUAAAGCUCCACCACCAUUACUUUUCUGCUAGUGGCAUUUAACAGGUGAUAGAAAUGAACAUAUGUUGAGAGAGUGUCAGAGGAUGCCAUGGAUCUGUAGGCUCUUAAGUCCCCUUGGUCUCUGAAUACUUCAGCCAGCAUGGGUAAUUUUCUCUCAUUGGUGGUGAUCAUAGAAUUGUAGAACUGGAAGAAACCAUGAGGGUCAUCUAGCCCAACAAUGCAAUGCAGGAAUUUCAACUAAAGAACCCAUGACAGAUGGCCACCCAACUGCUCCUUAAAAACAUCCAGUGAAGGAGAGUCCACCACCUUCCAAGGCAGUCCAUUUCAUUUGGAAGGUGGUGGACUCUCCUUCAUUGGAGAGGAGGAGAAUGCCCUCCUCCCCCUUCUCCUGCCUUAACAACCACAUGCUAACAGGGUUUUGGAUUGGGUGUUAAAUAUGCCAUGAAAUUCCCUGCUUCUCUCCAGUUGAAAUUGCAGUUUCUGUGCCGUUAUUAUAGUCUUGGAGAUCAUUGGCUGUGAUUCUCUACUCAAUAUUAAGAUUGCACUUUCAUAAUUUGGUUAUUUAUUGGCAAAUCUUCUAAUUAUUGUAUUUAAUAAAUAUGACCUUCCCACUAUACUGGUUUCUCAAGUCUUCUUUCAAGGUAUGUUGACAAUUGUGUGUUAAGCCUCCUGUUUGCAAAUGCAUUUCCUCCCAUUGAAUUUGGAUCUAGGAUUUUAGCCUGAUGUUUUUGUUGGCUUGUUGGAACAAGCUUGUUGAUGCAUAAGAUAUACCGUACUUGAAAUAUGAGAAGUUCUGAAAGACGACUUAUUUCCUGUGUGAACCAAUGUUCCAGAAUAGAUUUGAGCUAGUUUAAUUCACAGCUGAAAUAGUGGGCAGCCUGGGUGAUUGAUGAGUAUUAAUUAGUCUUCUGUGGUUUUACAAAUCUCACAUCCCUAUGGCUUGACACUAGCUGACACACAGAAAACACUUUAUAUAUUUAUAUUUGCAUGUUCCUCUUCUUAUUAAGAAAUUAACAGCACCUCACAUUUAAUCUAGUAUAUUGUUUAUAAUAGGUCAAUUUGCUAUCAGUUUAUUAGUACAGUCCUGAGAUUAUUGGGAAGAAAAUGUAAUUUCUUUCCACUUUCCAACUAUACUUUAAUAAUCCUAUUUCCUCUUUACAGUGGUACCUCGGUUUAUGAACUUAAUCCAUUCCAAAACCAUUCUUCUUAAACCAAAACCAUUCUUAAACUGAGGCGUGCUUUCCCUAAUGAGGCCUCCCGCCGCUGGUGCCCUUCCACCAUUCAGCUUCCAUUCCUAGACCGAGGUAAAGUUUGCAAACUGGGACACUACUUCCGGUUUUGCAGAGUUCGUAAACUGAAUAGAUCAUAAACAGGGCUGUUCUUAAACUGAGGUACCAUUGUUUUGUUAGCGCUGUGCACUAUGAUGCAGUACUAGGACACCAAUAUACCAUAUUACUUUCUGUUUACAAAACCAUCUAAAUUUUAAAGAUGUGUGAGCUUUACUCAUAUCAGUCUGCUGCUGCUUGACACUCUUAUUAUUGAUCAUACCAGAUUGAAUGCAAAGCAGAAGUGGCUCAUCCAGUGGGCUAAAGCUGCAGUGUUAGCUUCCUGGCAAUGGGGAUGCUGCUGUUUACAGGGAGAAGCAAGGUACUGGAGAAGUUGAUGUGGUGUGGGAACAGCAGUGGAAACAAACUGGUUUGCUUGCACUGCAUCAACCUACCACUUGCACCCAGGGCCGUCUUUAGCAGAUGGGGCACCAAGGUGCAAAUAUCCACCCAACGCCCCCAAAUUACCACAGAUAGUAUUGGGGUGGCUGUAGCUGCACACUGCCAGCCAUUGGGGGGGCACAACUCUCCCCCAUGCCGCUGCGGGAAAGCGAUCCUCACAGAGGCUUGGGAGGGAAGCUGCACACCCACCAGCCAUAUGGUUGGCGGGGCACAGCUUCCAUCCUAAGUCUCUGUGGGGAUCGCUCUCCUCCCGAGGAGGCUUGGGAGGGAAGCUGCACGCCUGCCAGCCUUGGUGGGGCGCAGCUGGCAUGCGUGCAGGGAAAGGGGAGGCUGCUGGCAAAGCUGCACAGCUCCCCCACUUGCUGGGGCGCCCCUGAGAGGCCGGUGCCCUGGCGCAACGCACUACUAAGCCCUAUGGGAAGGACGGCUCUGCACCUUAGCCUAAGACCUACAGGUCUAACUUUUGUAACCAACACAGCCUUUUGAAAGAAACAAAUUGGAAAGUCUUCCAACCUCGUCUAGCACAACGUGGAAGGCUGGUAGCGUUCAUGGUAAAAACGGUUCUUGUGCGGCAACAGUCAUGAAGGGUUGGGGAGAGAAGAUGGGUCUGUUGUCAUAUUGUGCGCUGUAGUUACAUAGGACAGUAACAUACCUUGUGUUUAUCUAUUAGGAGAACGAGGUGCUUUCUUAAGAGUCACCUCUGUGCUUGCAAAACUUUUGUUUGGACAAUCUACAAAUAAAACUGCAGUUAAUUUAUGCCUUGUGUAUAAUGAAGCAUACACUUGAGUGUUUAGAUAAUAUUCCUAACAAUUUGCUUUGUAUUUUUAGUCCCAUCCCUUGUCCUUGUGCUCUUUACCAAAACAAUUUAGCUGAUAGAAUCAAUAAAAAGAUGUACACAUUUGCUGAUAACACAAUACUAAGCAGUUGAUCAAAUAACCUAGGAUGACACCAAAAGGAUUAUGCAGGAUUUAGACAGCCAUUUAAAAAUGCCAAGUGUCUGCUGGCAUUCAGCUUAGAGGCAUGCAAAAUUAGUUGAGGCAUUUUGAAUAUCAGCUGAAGGACAUAAAGGUCCAGGACGGUGCCUAAAGAUAAUGCUAACACUUCAUAAUUGUUAAUUGUUACACAGAAAAAGCAAAGGACUUAGAAUAUACUCUCUCCCCACUAAUCAUUAGGUAGAAGAAAAAUAAUGGCAUUUACGAUGUGUAGCUUUUGAGUAGAUGAGACACUCUGUUCUCUAAUAAUGGGUGCCAUAUUAAGGAAGAUAUAGUGCUUGAACUAGAAGGUGUAAUGACAAUGGGAGGAAAUGUAUUAAGGAACUGGUGAGCACAAACUUAUUCGUUGGUUCCUAACUUUAGCUGUGAGCUUGUGAUAAAUGGUAAAUCCAAUAAGACAUAAUCAGAGGCAGUGCUUAACUGCAUGUAUAGUAAAUUGCAGUUAACUUGUGUUAUUAACUCCAUGUCAUCAGAUAUAACCCCUCACUGGGAGUUUUACAGCUGUGACCUGUGAACACCACAUAAUGGAAUUUUGCAUUCAUAUUAUUAUUUUUUUUACUUUUCACAGGUACAAUGAGUUGUGCCUUGGCACUGCAGUCUGGGGUGUAUCUGAGAAGCAAAAUAUAAUGACCUUUGCAUAGCAAACCUACUCAGACUACAGGAAAUGGUCUGAAGGACCAUCAGGCCACCACCUUGCUGAAGCUAAGCAGGACUGGGGUUGGUCAGUGCUGGAUGGGAAACCUCCAGGAACCCACAAGUAUGCCACCUUCAGUUCCACAAUGGAAGAAAGGGGG